rnacentral:lncRNA from 1 species
UUUAAUUAUUGUAUACACAAAUAAAUAUUAGGCUUCUGAACAUUUAAAUCAUGAUCAUGUUUUGAUAAUAUCUAGCACCUACUAUGUGGCUGCUAAUGUGCUAUGAUUUUUAUGUGCACUUUCCCAGUCCAGUUCCAAUCACUGUUGAGUAAAUUAUAAUUCUUCUCAUUUAACAAAUAGGUAGACUGAGUUUCGGAGUUUCAGAGUUUCAGAAAGUUUAAUCAGUUGGAUUGUGAUCUCAAGCUUGCAGGCAACAGUCUUGGGAUUUGGAUCCCCUUUAGGGUAAAAGCGUAAGAAGGACCAUCUGGGGCCAUUUCACGUAUUUUAGACAAUAGGAUUGUGCAGCCCCAACAGGUUUUCUCUCCAUGUUAUAAACACAGUAACAAGCCAAUCUCUGACUUUUUGAUUCCGUGGUAUACCAGGGGAAAAAAUCAAAUGGCAAAGGCAGAAAUAUUUCCUUCUAAGAAACAGUAGGACAAAUCUGAUUGAUUUGGGCUGAGGCAUACUGACAAUUCAACAGUAGCCAGCUGAAAUUGCCUUUCCAACUGAGGUGGUUAAGCCUGGCCUGGAGCACUGUUGUCAGCCCGCACCUGCCGCAGGACUCCUUUGCAGUGCUUCAGAAGCCACCUUUGCCAAGGGAACACUGUGAACAAAGAGAUGGAAGCAUGGAUGUGUGUAGUAUUCUCGGGGAAUGGUGAGCACAGCAGUGAGUACAGAGAGAGGGAGAAGGGAGUGGAAUAAAUAGAGUGUACCGAGAUUACAGGUUGAGCGGUGUCUUGCUAAGAAUUUAUAGUUAUUAGGGGAGCCACUGAAAUGGGUGUGUGUGUGGCAGGGCAGAUAUCUAUUAUUUGGUAAGAUUGCUUUGAGAAACCCAAGAAAGUGGAUUGAAAAGAGGAGAGCUAUGGACUGUGCUAUGGUGAGCAGGUAAUGUCUGGUAAGGGGUGAUCCUCAAGAGUCUCAGAAAUAUCACCUCUAAUUAAAGAUAAUCUCUGUUUUUUGUUAUUUUUAUUUUAUUUUUUUUACUUUUGGAAAAAGCCCAACAACUGGAGAAUUUUAAUGAAUUUGAUAGGAUUGUGAGAUACUACUUAACAACAGAUGAUCUGCAUUUAAUAAUUUGGAGUUCCUUAGGUGAUUUUCAUACUACUUUACAUUAUAUGUUCUGACUUUUUGCUUUUGACUCCCUCAAACCAUGCUGCCAACAAUUGAAGAAUACAUUAAUGUAAAUAUGCAAGAAAAUCCUCAUCUUUAUCAUUUGCUUCUGAGCCUUGGACAGUUCUGAUGUAAAUCAUUUUAGAAGCCUCCCUAAUUAAAAUGGAAACCCAUUGUGUCAGUUUGUCUGAAGGAACUAGAGUGAUGUACAUUUGAAUGUUUGUUUGAAUAUAGCUUUUAGGCUAUUGACAGAAAUUUGAGAAGGAGGCCAAGUUUAGCAGCAUGGGCCCAGAGAAAGACCAAAGCCAGGCAUGAAUAUUUACUGACAGGCGGUUAAGCAAAACAGCCAUUCCGCUAUUUGUCUUUUCACUGUCCUGGAUAUUUGCUUCUUAUUAAUCUUUUAGGAUGUAUUCUUCCUUUGCUGAAUCCAUUAUUAAACAGAGAACAGACAUUGUGUUAGCAUUAUUUGUU